GCCACAUACAUUAGCAUUCACAACUCCCUGAUUAAUAAAUGCAAGAGUCUAUUCAAGUAAUAAUCCAGAUAACCUGUCUAGAUCCCAACCCAUCAAAGAAAAAAAAGGAACUAAAUUCAAGGUACCUGAAAAAAGGCAAAAUAUGGGAUAUGGAUAAGCAUAUGCUAUAUCCACUUCUGGAUUUAAAAUACUCAUGGAAAACCCAGAUACAAAACAAUGAAUUAAAUCUAAAUUUUACAAGUCUUAUGAUUUAUGGCAGAUAGCAUAUAAGUAAAGAGUGGGUACAAUUAUAUACAUACAUGAAAGCUAGGUAUAUACAUAGAAUAAGAGUGGGUACAAUUACUCCAUUUGUGACCUGCUGGUCACAGUUUCAAGCCACGAAAACAGUCUCUCUGAAAAGGAGGAUAAGAUUGUGUAUAUCAACUCUCCUUAAAAGGUCACAAGUGUGCACUGGAUCAACCAUUUUAGCAAAGCUAGAUUCUAUGCUACAGUGAAGCAAUUGUUGUGAAUAGUGAAGCUUCUGAAGUAGCUUAUAUGUAAGAGGAUGUAAAAUUAAAGAACGAAAAUUUGAAACCGGAGACGUAUACCAAAGACACAAGUCCUCAAUGAACAAAACCAACCCUCAUCACUAAAGAUGCAAGUCAAAUAUUAAAUCAUCACACAUCAAAUUCGGACAAAAUUGAAUCAAUUGGAAAGCUUGAGAAUUUACC
rnacentral:misc_RNA from 1 species